UACGUAGGUGGCAAGCGUUGUCCGGAAUUAUUGGGCGUAAAGAGCUCGUAGGCGGUCUGUCGCGUCGGCUGUGAAAACCCGAGGCUCAACCUCGGGCCUGCAGUCGAUACGGGCAGACUAGAGUGCUGUAGGGGAGACUGGAAUUCCUGGUGUAGCGGUGAAAUGCGCAGAUAUCAGGAGGAAUACCGAUGGCGAAGGCAGGUCUCUGGGCUGACACUGACGCUCAUGCACGAAAGCGUGGGGAGCAAACAGG
rnacentral:rRNA from 1 species